rnacentral:rRNA from 1 species
ACAAAUACCCUGAGGGAAAGUUGAAAAGCACUUUGAAAAGAGAGUGCAAGAGAACGUGAAACCGACAUAAUGGAAGCGGAUGGAGCUGACGUAUCUGGCGCGUAUUCAAUCGUUCGCUGCGGCAAUCGUUUUGGUGGCAUUCCGCAAGGUUGUCAUCCGAGCGUCUCGUCGUUGUCGGACGGUGCAUUUGCGUGCGGAGUGCGCCGAGCGGGUUGAUGCCGCUGCUGGAAGCUCGGGUAGAGGACUCGGUGGCAACAUUCGAGAAUCCUGCACGAGUGGAUAGCGGGUGGCGUUGGCUUGUCCAUGGAAGUGCGGGUGAAUUCGCGAUCGGCGGUUUCGGUGCGGGUGGCUUGCGGACGGCACAUGUGUCGUUCGUUCGUUUGCUCGUGCGGUAGCAGUCGGUUGCCCUCGUGCUGAACUCGGUGUAUAGUCGGUCACCCAUUUGACCCGUCUUGAAACACGGACCAAGGAGUUUAAGGUGUACGCAAGUCAUUGAGCGAGCAGAAACUCAAAGGCGGAAUGAAAGUGAGACACUCGGUGUCUGUGAUGUGAUCGGCGGGCGUUUCGACGUCCACCGUGCAACAUCGCCCCGUGAUUUGGACUUGUCCUGUUGCGGAGGUUGAGCGUACGCUUUGAGACCCGAAAGAUGGUGAACUAUGCCUGAACAGGAUGAAGCCAGAGGAAACUCUGGUGGAAGUCCGAAGCGGUUUAGACGUUCACAAUCGAUCGU